GUAGGUGGCAAGCGUUGUCCGGAAUUAUUGGGCGUAAAGCGCGCGCAGGCGGGUUCUUUAAGUCUGAUGUGAAAGCCCACGGGCUCAACCGUGGAGGGUCAUUGGAAACUGGAGAACUUGAGUACAGAAAAGGAAAACAAAAUUCCACAUAUAGCGGUGAAAUGCGUAGAGAUGUGGAGGAACACCAGUGGCGAAGGCGGCUUUCUGGUCUGUAACUGACGCUGAGGCGCGAAAGCGUGGGGAGCAAACAGGAUUAGAUACCCUGGUAGUCCACGCCGUAAACGAUGAGUGCUAAGUGUUAGGGGGUUUCCGCCCCUUAGUGCUGCAGCUAACGCAUUAAGCACUCCGCCUGGGGAGUACGGCCGCAAGGCUG
rnacentral:rRNA from 1 species